rnacentral:rRNA from 1 species
UUCUUCAAUAAAAAUUAUUCAAACAAACUAAUUAAUUAAAAGGAACUCGGCAAAAUUAGUUGCUUCGCCUGUUUAUCAAAAACAUGGCUCUCUGCUUAUGUAAAUAUAGAGAGUCGAGCCUGCCCAGUGAAUUUUCAACGGCCGCGGUACUCUGACCGUGCAAAGGUAGCAUAAUCAUUUGCCUUAUAAUUGAAGGCUAGUAUGAAUGGUUUGACGAGAGCAACGCUGUCUCUUUUUUAUUUUCAAGAACUUAACUUUUAGGUGAAGAGGCCUAAAUUUUAUUGAAGGACAAGAAGACCCUGUCGAGCUUAAAAGAUAUUAUAGAAGUGCAUCUAUUUUUAAAUAAAUUUUCUAUUCAGCUUUUUAGUUGGGGCGACUAAGGAACAAAAAAAGCUUCUUAUUAAUAAUAAACACUCAUGUUUAGAUCCGGCAAUAACCGAUCAAAGGAAUUAGUUACCGCAGGGAUAACAGCAUAAUCUCUCUUGAGAGACCUAAUCGAAAGAGGGGGUUGUGACCUCGAUGUUGGACUAGAAUAUCCUAAAGAUGCAAA